GAGUUUGAAUCCUGGCUCAGGACGAACGCUGGCGGCGUGCCUAACACAUGCAAGUCGUACGGGCUUGAGGGGCAACUCUCAAGUCAGUGGCGAACGGGUGCGUAACACGUGAGCAACUUGCCCUAAGGUGGGGGAUAGCCGGCCUAACGGCCGGGUAAUACCGCAUAUGGCAUCGAGGUCGCAUGGCCUUGAUGGGAAAGCGGCCGCAAGGUCGCGCCAAAGGUGGGGCUCGCGACGUAUCAGCUAGUUGGCGGGGUAAUGGCCCACCAAGGCUACGACGCGUAGCUGGUCUGAGAGGAUGGCCAGCCACAUUGGGACUGAGAUACGGCCCAGACUCCUACGGGAGGCAGCAGUGGGGAAUAUUGCGCAAUGGCCGAAAGGCUGACGCAGCGACGCCGCGUGCGGGAGGAAGGCCUUCGGGUUGUAAACCGCUUUCAGGGGAGACGAAGCUUCCAGGGUUAAUAGCUCUGCGGAGUGACGGUAUCUUCAGAAGAAGUCCCGGCUAACUACGUGCCAGCAGCCGCGGUGAUACGUAGGGGACAAGCGUUGUCCGGAAUUAUUGGGCGUAAAGCGCGUGUAGGCGGCCAAGUAAGUCUUACGUGAAAUCCUGAGGCUCAACCUCAGGCCUGCGCGGGAUACUGCUUGGCUAGAGUCCGGAAGAGGAGAGUGGAAUUCCUGGUGUAGCGGUGGAAUGCGCAGAUAUCAGGAGGAACAUCCGUGGCGAAGGCGGCUCUCUGGGACGGUACUGACGCUGAGACGCGAAAGCGUGGGGAGCGAACAGGAUUAGAUACCCUGGUAGUCCACGCCGUAAACGAUGGGCGCUAGGUGUGGGAGGUGUCGAUUCCUUCCGUGCCGAAGCUAACGCAUUAAGCGCCCCGCCUGGGGAGUACGGUCGCAAGACUAAAACUCAAAGGAAUUGACGGGGGCCCGCACAAGCAGCGGAGCAUGUUGUUUAAUUCGAUGCGACGCGAAGAACCUUACCUAGGCUUGACAUGUUGUGGA
rnacentral:rRNA from 1 species